CUGCCCGGCUCGUGGCAUGCGUGCGUGUAUUUAAACAAGAGCAUUACUCUCAUUUUCUUCAAGCAAUUAGCUUGAGAACAAGGGAAUAUAUAAAAACAACAAACAACCUUUUGGUUUUCAAUGUAGGACUAAACAUCACACGUGAAAAUUUUAGUUGGGCUCCCAAAGCGGCCCAUUAACAAUUAUUAGGUUCUUGAUGGGUUCUCAAGAGGCCUUAAUAAGUUUUAAAUCAUAACAAACCCAAUAAAAUCCAAUAUAAAUCAUAUAUUAUUCUCUGUCAGCUUAAGCCAGUGAAAAAUAAUAAUUGUUUUCAUAAUUAAAUAUGAUAUUAGAGUAGGAGGUCUUAAGUUCGAAUCUGGCUAGACUCCUAACAUUAUUAAU
rnacentral:lncRNA from 1 species